rnacentral:rRNA from 1 species
AUUGAACGCUGGCGGCAGGCCUAACACAUGCAAGUCGAGCGAGCGGCGGACGGGUGAGUAAUGUAUGGGGACUGCCCGAUAGAGAGGGAUAACUACUGGAAACGGUGGCUAAUACCGCAUACUAUCGGAUAACCCAUAUGGGAUUAGCUAGUAGGUGGGGUAACGGCUCACCUAGGCGACGAUCUCUAGCUGGUCUGAGAGGAUGAUCAGCCACAUGGUGACUGAGAAACGGCCCAGAACCCUACGGAGGCAGCAGUGGGGAAUAUUGCACAUGGGGCGCAAGCUUGAUGAAGCAAUGCAGCGUGUAUGAAGAAGGCCUUAGGGUUGUAAAGUACGUUCAGCGGGGAGGCGUUACCCGCAGAAGAAGCAACGGCUAACUCCGUGCCAGCCGCCGCGGUAAUUC